GUUGACCUCGGAUCAGGUAGGGAUACCCGCUGAACUUAAGCAUAUCAUA
rnacentral:rRNA from 8 species